AACAGACUAAUUGGCGUUUGAGACUGCAUCUGGUUAGCAAGUCUGUUCUGAUCCAGCAUGCAGCCAUGACUGGUUCUGAAUGAAGGCUUUAUCUGGGAGCCACUCUCCCCCUUCGCCUCCUGCUUUGCACUUUCACCGCUGGUUAAGACCUAAAAAUCAUGACUCUGAUCGCUUUUCCUGCUGCUCUGUUAACUGCAGCAGAAAGAAGCAGUGAAAGAAGCAGAACCAGCUCCGCAGAAGACGGGUCUAGACUGAGCUCUGGAUGGACAGAGCUGUGAACGGAUCAUCCACAGCCCAGAUCCUUUCGUUCUCACGUCACGUCGGUUGGUGGAUCAGUGACGGUCCUCAUGUCAGACCAACAGCCUCCGUGGACUAAAGAGCUCCUCUGGUCUCCAAAGUCCAACCAGCGUCUUCCUCAGCUCUUCAUCCACAAACUGCUGCCUGACAGCCUGGAGCUGAACAAAGAUCACCGCAGCUGCUGCUUUGCCUCAGAAGGAAAGAAGGGAAGAUUCUGAGCAGAUGUGGACUUGGUAAUAGUUCACAGCUUCAUAGUCACUUCCCACAUCAGUUCAUAGGCCACAUAGUUGCAUACUUGAAGAAGUGGGACAGAGGCCUUGAUGGUAGCAUUAUGUUUGUGAGGAUGAUGAAGAUGGAGAAGAAGAUCUGCUGUCACAUCCUGAUGGCUCCAAACCAACUGAAGGGAGAAAAUAUUGUCAUAUUUCUGCUGUCAUUGCUGUCAUUAGUCCUCAUUGCCUCUAAAUGAUGUUUCUGAUAGAGAACAAACGGAUUUCUGCAUUCAAAGAUGUUCAGUGUUGGGAUCCUGAGUUUCUUUGACAUAAUCUGGAUUUUGUUCCAGUUCUAAUAGCUUGACUGACGACCUCUGUUUUCUCCAUUGAUCAGGACUGUAGCAACUUCAAAGCUGCAGAUUUACUCUGAUCCAGAACCAGCAAAGCAAACGUGACGUAACUGGUGUAUCUGGAGCUGCUGCCGCCAUGAAAUAUCAUUAAUGUUGUUUAACUGGUGGAGAAAGGCUUGCAGAUCCAGAAUGUGUCAUCAGUGAGCUGCUGAAAAGAUGUCAGGACAAAAACAUUCAUCUGCAUUUCAUAGACGACGCUGCGUAGGAACUUUUCUCACAGAUGCAUGUGAGCAUCUUCCUGAAUGUUUGACUCAAUAUUUCUGUUCAUAUUAAUAAAUCACUGUAUUGUGUUGAUUAGAAAACCAGAGAAGCUCUUCCUAAAGGUUUCUCCAUGGCUGUAGUGGCAUUUCAUGUUUACGGACAAAACUGCUGGCUCAGGUUAUUUUUUAUUUGCUGGGACUAAAACUAUUUAGCCAAAUUGUAGCAGAUGUUUCAUCCUAGGUACAUAGCUGCACAUGAAAAAAUGAUUCACUCCAUUCUUUGUGCCACAGUUUCCAACAAUGUGCUCUGAGCUUUUCUCUUCAUCCCAGAUCAUGUAGAGAACACAAAGGCUGCCUGGAUCUGGCCUAACAGUUUGGAUCCAUUAGGGUUCUGCUAAUGUGGCUCCAUAGAAAGCUGAAGCUGCUCGGCAGCGCCACCUGCUGGUCUCCUAUCCUGAUGGAGACAGAAUGAAGGCUGGAAACCAGAGGAAACAUCCAGAGAACAAAUGUUUCAGAACAAAUGAACAGAGAAAUGUUCCUCUAAGGUUCCCACGUUUCCAUCAGAUGAAUGGUCUCUAAAGCUGCUCUGACUGAACCACACUGACAGUCCAGCUUUUCAUUUUCACUCAGGGAGUUUUAGUGGGAAUCAAGUGAGACACCACCUGCUGAU